AAAUCCAUAUAAAUACAGUAGAAUGUGGUCAGUGAGGUACCUGUUGGUAGCAGGAUGUCUUGUGCAAAUUGAGCAGUGAUUCAACAUUGAUGAGCUUAUUCAAAGUAAUUUAAAGUGCAUGUAGUGCAUA